CUCGCUUGGCAACGGAAAUAUCUCGGCUCACGCAUCGGAUGAAGAACGUAUGAUUAGCAAAAAUGGUGAUAUUGGUGUGAAUGCAGGAAUCCCCGUGAACCAUCGAGUUUUUGAACGCAAGUUGCGCCCGAAGCCAUUCGGUUGAGGGCACGUCUGCCCUGGGCGUCA
rnacentral:rRNA from 1 species